rnacentral:rRNA from 1 species
AGUGGGGAAUAUUGGACAAUGGGCGCAAGCCUGAUCCAGCCAUGCCGCGUGAGUGAUGAAGGUCUUAGGAUUGUAAAGCUCUUUCAGCAGGGAAGAUAAUGACGGUACCUGCAGAAGAAGCCCCGGCAAACUUCGUGCCAGCAGCCGCGGUAAUACGAAGGGGGCUAGCGUUGUUCGGAUUUACUGGGCGUAAAGCGCACGUAGGCGGACUAUUAAGUCAGGGGUGAAAUCCCGGGGCUCAACCCCGGAACUGCCUUUGAUACUGGUAGUCUUGAGUUCGAGAGAGGUGAGUGGAAUUCCGAGUGUAGAGGUGAAAUUCGUAGAUAUUCGGAGGAACACCAGUGGCGAAGGCGGCUCACUGGCUCGAUACUGACGCUGAGGUGCGAAAGCGUGGGGAGCAAA